rnacentral:rRNA from 1 species
UUGAAAGGGAAACGAUUGAAGUCAGUCGUACCUGCGGGUAAUCAGCCUUUUGGGUGUGAUUAUGUGGAGCGUGAGGAGCUAAACACCCUCAUCUUUGCAUAUUCGUGCACUUUGGGUGUACUUGCUCGUGUGGUAGGUUAACAUCAAUUUUGAUCGUCAUAAAAUGACUGGAGGAAUGUGGCUUCGAUCUCGUAUUGAAGUGUUAUAGCCUUUGGUAGAUGUGAUGAUUAGGAUUGAGGAUUGCAACGGAUACCCUUUUGGGCUACCUGUCUGACCUCUGAAAGUUGCUCUGGUGCUGAAAGCUUGCUUAUGGUAUC